GACAUACCCAUGGACAUAGUGGGAUGUUGCAUCACCUCUCUCUCUCUCACUCUCUCUCUUCAAAGCUUUCUUCUUCUCUGUAGGGACUGUAACUGAGAAGGAAAGGGAUCUCCAGUGAAUUGCAGGAACAUAAGGAUUUAAGUGGGGCAAGUUUUUACAUAAUUUGAACAAUCUAAAGUCUCUGAAGCUGAACUCCUUGUAAGACUGUGGAUGUUGCUUGUCCACAAGCAUUGGUGCAGGCCCUACUUUCUUGUCCAAAGAAAGACUGUGGAGACUGGCAAUGGAAAGUCUACUUUUCUCAGAGCUAACUGUUGCUCUGUGAAGAACACUUUUGUAAUGUCCAUUGCUCAGAACCUCCAUUUGGUCUCCCAGCUGAACCAAGAGAGCUCCUUCGAUGGCUGGGACCGUUUGCCAGUUGCUGUUCUGGUCCUUUACCUGAAGCCCUGGACAACUUUGAAGCAGGAUGGUUAUGGAGCCAUAGUCUGAAUGGGGAGGCAUUCCUAAGGCAAGCUCUGGUUCUGGACAUGCAGGGUAGCAAUUCACAGCCACUAAUUGGGACCCACUUUCAACUUCUUCUUGUAAGUACUUAGGGUUUAGCCCCAAGCUCUCUAUGACAAGCUCCAUUAUUUGCUCUUGUAGCACUUGCACAGCCUUGGCAUAGUUUCCCAUCUUCUCUCUGUCAUAGAAAUUUGCAGACAUUUAGACUUGAACUUAA